rnacentral:rRNA from 1 species
CCUACGGGUGGCAGCAGUGAGGAAUAUUGGUCAAUGGACGAGAGUCUGAACCAGCCAAGCAGCGUGAAGGAUGACUGCCCUCUGGGUUGUAAACUUCUUUUAUAUGGGAAUAAAAUGUUCCACGUGUGGGAUUUUGUAUGUACCAUAUGAAUAAGGAUCGGCUAACUCCGUGCCAGCAGCCGCGGUAAUACGGAGGAUGCGAGCGUUACCCGGAUUUAUUGGGUUUAAAGGGAGCGUAGGUGGUUUGUUAAGUCAGUUGUGAAAGUCUGCGGCUCAACCGGAAAAUUGCAGUUGAAACUGGCAGUCUUGAGUACAGUAGAGGGGGGUGGAAUUCGAGGUGUAGCGGUGAAAUGCGUAGAGAUCUGGAAGAACACCGAUGGCGAAGGCAGCUCACUGGACUGUAACUGACACUGAGGCUCGAAAGUGUGGGGAUCAAACAGGAUUAGAUACCCGAGUAGUC